rnacentral:rRNA from 1 species
ACGAACGCUGGCGGCAUGCCUAACACCUGCAAGUCGAACGAGACCUUCGGGUCUAGUGGCGCACGGGUGCGUAACGCGUGGGAACCUGCCCUUAGGUUCGGAAUAACUCCCCGAAAGGGGUGCUAAUACCGGAUAAUGUCUUCGGACCAAAGAUUUAUCGCCUUUGGAUGGGCCCGCGUUGGAUUAGCUAGUUGGUAGGGUAAAAGCCUACCAAGGCGACGAUCCAUAGCUGGUCUGAGAGGAUGAUCAGCCACACUGGGACUGAGACACGGCCCAGACUCCUACGGGAGGCAGCAGUGGGGAAUAUUGGACAAUGGGCGAAAGCCUGAUCCAGCAAUGCCGCGUGAGUGAUGAAGGCCUUAGGGUUGUAAAGCUCUUUUACCCGGGAUGAUAAUGACAGUACCGGGAGAAUAAGCUCCGGCUAACUCCAUG